rnacentral:lncRNA from 1 species
GGGAGGGCUGGAGUAAAGGAGAGGCAGCUGACCCGCUGCUGCUGUGUCACACUUCAGGUCUAGUCCCAGUUCCAUAGUCAAUGCACUGUUUAACCAGGAAUUGGUUUUCCCGUGGAAUUCUCCUUCCAUAAUGAGCCAGUUAAGCAAUUCACUAUCUGGGGGAAAAGCCAGCCAGGCCCCAUGUGUUUUUGCAGAAAGCACAUGACCUGGUAUGUCUUGUCUGGGGGUGCGGGGGUGCCUCGCAGGGGAGGGUGCGGAGAGAAACUGACGCUGUGGGUCUCCCAGAGAUGAGAACGGAGCCUGGCCUGUUUGAAUCAGAGCCGAGACUGCACUGCGCUGCUCAGCAAACCUGGGAAAGGGCAGGUCUAAGUCCAGGAGUGUCUGAGAGUCACCAGGGAGCGUCCAAAGAAGCGAGCUUGUCUUUAGGGCUCCACUGGGUCAUGAGUUUAGUUCUGGCUUCUAGGAAGGACUUGUGUGAAAGGAAAGGGCAUGUAUUUUUCAUUUAUCUGGCUAGGGAUCCACUCUGAGCAAGAGACUUCUUUAGGUGUGAAAGAAUUCUUGUAAGUUAACUCUUGAGAUGGUGACUAGGAAAAGUGUCGGAGUCAUAGUUAAAACCCUGGAUACUUUGUUCCGACCCAGCCGGGAACCCAUACGGAUUUGAUGAUUCGGUCACUGAACUGCGAGUUAGUGGGAGCUCUGAACGACCGUGCUUGCCCUGAGUAGCCGAUGUGCUGCUUGCAUUUGGCUUGAGGCUUAUCAUGUAUUUAGAUUCCCCUUGAUGCAAUGUUCCCAUGGGAACACAAUUUGGAAUAAGUGAGACGACUGAGGAUGGCCACUUACAAUUCUGUCCUAAUGUGACCAAUAGUUAAACAAGCCUGGAGGAAAUGGUGGUGCCAUCAUUUGAAUGGAAGAGUCCAACCUUUGGAGUAAAGGAAGGCUUUUUCACUCCUGUAUUCACUGCCUUUGUAUCGUGAGCCGUGCUCACAAGCGUGCUGUGACUUCCCAUGGAACAGCCUGGCCGUCUGGCUUGAGGAAGCUUCCUUUUCCUUGUGAUCUGAGGAAAGAGACGCUCUGGUCGUGAUCGCACCGAUACGCCACGAUUCACAUCCCUGAUCAAACUGCAUUUGCCUGAGACUGACGUGGAUGACAUGAAGAUGCUGGCCCCGGGAUUUAGUCAGUGAUGUACUACCACAGAAGAUUAUUUUCCAAGAAAGUGAUUCAAGCAGUCCUUAGGAAUCACAAUGAACUUGAUAUGGAUUUUCCUUCAAACAGAAAAACCCACGAAUGAGGGUAAUUCAGGAUUUUUGGCAUUGACUACAUAAGCUCAAACUAAACAAGAUAUGUAUGUGACCUGAGAAAUGAAUGCCUUCUGUAUUGACCAUCUAUAGACCCCAUAGUGUAAUGGAGAAAAAAAGAAUGGCACGAAAAAAUUUUUUGUUUGAGAAAACAAUAAACAACCACUAAGCAUGUUUUCCAAUAUGGGAAUAUUACUCUUGUGUUAUGUGGAACAUUUUGGUUUUUGGCAUUUGCUUAUUUUUGUAAUUCGAACAUGCUAUCCUGGUUUCCGAAGCCAGAUGAUACCAAACAGAUUGGACUCCAGUUCAGCUUAAUCGCCAAGAGCAAGGUCUGCUCUCCUUCGAUGUGCAUUCAGGAGUCUUUUUCUUUGGGGCUGUUUCUGGGAAAUCCUUUGCUCAGGUUGCCUUGAGGUGUGUGACAGAGGGUUCAGCAUGCUUGUGGCCCUGGUUGCUUGAUCUAAGUUAGGACAAAAGUUGAGCCAGUUUGUUUUGAAAUCGUAGAGAGGAAAGUUGGAGAGACCCAGGAAUGAGAAGUGGAAGAUACAGCUUUAAAAAAGCUUCAGAGAGAAUCCUUGGGGCUAAAGCCAGUUUGCAUACGGGUGCCUGGGAGAUGAAGACAGUCCUAAUAGCACUGUGGAUCUUUACUGAAGCAUGAUAUAGGAACCUAGUCUCUCUUGAGCAAAAUCCAUAGCAGCCAAGAGCUUGGGUCCCAGGCUGUGUAAGGCAAAACAUGGGUGGUAGUCCAGUCGGCUAUCAUUGUGUGUGUCCUUGACCUCAAGUGAGCCCAGCCCACAGGUUAUUCCAGACUUCUUUAGACUCAUGGUUACUAACUCACAAGGUGACUGAUGGACGUGGACUGGCCCUAGGAUGCUCUGGCCAGGAGACAAUGGUCCCUGGUGACUGGAGCCUGUAAGAAGCGAAUCUGUGUCAAGGAGCCCGUCAUGAUAACGCUUGUUUUCUGCAAGACGAGACUGCACAGUGUCCCGAGGGAACGGCAGCCUGCCAUGUAGACUAAAAUGUGCCACGGGCAAGAGAAAUUCCAGCCUAACUGCAAUAUCAGGAUUGGCUCCUGUGUCCAGGCAAGAAUGACAUUCAAGGCUAAGGAAAACAGAGAGGGGGACUUCUGAGGGUCUUGGUUUUCUGGGAACUCAGGACAGAAGUGCCUGAGUCUAAUGAGCUCAGUUUCGCCAGUCACUUUGUCUGUUCGCGAAUAUUUUUUCUUCUGGGGAGAAACAAGAAGAUAGCUGACGUUGAGGAAAACAGUGAAUAAUCCGAGGGACUGAGAUUAGAUGUCAGUAGCUUUCCCUCACCACAUCUUUGGUGUCAGUUCUGCAAACAUCACUCUCACAUUGCCAGUGUGUACAGUCAACAGUGAAUAUAACAUUUGCUCCCGUGAAUCUUCUACCAUAAGGCUUUAUUAAGUCCUUUUUCUCUCACUCCUUCCUUGAAUUGCACUGUAGGCAUCCAGUCUGCUGAUACCCCACCUUACCCUUGAGCCUAAUUUUAGCAAUUGAUUUCUGAAGAAUAAAAAUGUUUUGGUAAAAGGAUGGUUUAGAAGCGUGUUCAGUGGAAGGAAUUCCAAUAGUGCAUCAUGGUUUGAUCUUUUCACUUAAGAUAUCACUAUACAGCAGGCAUGGGGCACUGCUGUUUUCAUAGGAUUUAAAGCGUGGUGGUAAAAGGAAUAAAGAAAAAUGAAUGACAGUAAGAUAUUUGUGUUUGACUGAUGCCCUCGGUGUGUCCGCCUCCCACACAGACACUCAAAGGGAUUGUAGGACACUCAAUGAACCCUCACUUCCUUUCUCCUUUCUUGUUCUUUUUCGGCCUCCCCUGUAGCAUAUGGAAGUUCCCGGGUCAGGGAUCAAAUCUGAGCUGGGGAUGCCACAGCCGCAGCAAUGCCAGAUCCUUAACACAAGCCAGAGAUGGAACCGGCACCUCCACAGAGACAAGCUGGGUCCUUAACCCACUGCGCCACAGCAGGAACUCCCUCACAUCCUUUUUAUUCCUGCUAUUUUCAACGUGACUUUAUGUGAAAAUUGCCCCUUUAUUGAUCAAGUGAAUACCUAGACCUGUAGCACUAAUUAGCUCGUUUAUGUUUCGAAGCUGUUGUUACAGCCUCUAUAACUGUCUCCAUUUUAUUUUCAGAAUUAUUUUUAACUUAUUCACAAACACGGGUAGUUGAAUAAGAAGAUCUUUUUGCUUCAGCUCAUGUGCUUACUUUUGCCCAAUUUGAAAAUUUAAAUGCAUUUUUUGCACAUACUUCAUAUUGCUUUUACAUUUGUUAUUGUACUCUUAUUUGUUUGGCUACUCUCCCCCAAAUACUUAAUUUGUUAAUCUCCGGACUUACUUUGUUAACACCCUCUGUAACACACUUUAAAACACACUUUGAAUGUAACUUGAGAUGAAAAACUUAAAUUGAAAUCCUCCAUUCCUUAAUUGCUGUAGAACAUGGCUGGGAAAAGCAAUCUGAUCAAACAGGGCAGAAUAUGAAGAUGUAGAUGAUUCUCUUAAGUAUUUUCCUGUGAAACAAAAUUGUGAAAGAGUCUGGUAUAUUUUUGGUCAUGAAUUGUUUCCACAAAGGCAGUCUUUUAAUGUGAGGUUAAAAAUGUCUUUUUUAGGAGUUCCCGUCGUGGCUCAGUGGUUAACGAAUCCGACUAGGAACCAUGAGGUUGUGAGUUUGGUCCCUGCCCUUCCUCAGUGGGUUAUAUACAUAGGCCGGGGCUACAGCUCUGAGUGGACCCCUAGCCUGGGAACCUCCAUAUGCCAUAGGAGCGGCCCAAAGAAAUAGCAAAAGGACAAAAAAAAAAAAAAAAGCCUUUUUUAGCCUCAUUCACGAUCUUUAGCUUCACUGUAAGUCGGAUUCUAGAAUCUUUCUGAUCUCCCAGUUGGUCGACGUGCACACAGUAGUUUAGAACGCAACCGAUCUAGGAGAUUUUGCUUUUUUCUUUUUAGAGCUGCACUCACAGCAUAUGGAAGUUUUCAGGUUAGGGGCGGAAUCUGAGCUGCAGCUGCUGGCCUAUGUCACACCCACAGCAAUGCGGGAUCCUUAACCCACUGAGUGAGGCCAGGCAUUGAAGUCGCAUCCUCAUAGAUACCAGUCGGGUUCUUUAUGGCUGAGCCACAAUGGGAACUCCCUAGGAGAUUAUUUUGAAGUCUGUUGAUUCCUGAAUGAAACUCGACUGGAUGGCCCUCUCAGUGAUGAGCCGAGCCACAGGUUCAGAUGGUACUCAGCAGUCAUCCGUAAAGCAGUUAGCAGAGAUUUUAGAAAUUUUAUUAAAAGCAGCAGUUUUGUUAAGUUUCAAAAAGUCAGGUAGUUUGAGGCCCCAAAGUGGGAAGAGACGUAUUUCUCUGUAUUUGCAUUUAUGUGUGGAUAAAUAUAUAUAAAAGAAUUGAUGACAUUCUCUGUGCUACCGUGCCCCCGUUAUCUGGGGAUGGGCCAAGACUUGCAGAUGGAUCAGCUCAAGCUGCUGGGGAGGCAGGAAUAGGCGGAGGUAGUGCCUCACCUACGAGUCCUCUGGGGCUAGCCUUGCAUUCUGCACCUCAGCUUUAGUUCCAAAUAUGGGAGUUCCCGUCGUGCGUGGCGCAGUGGUUAACGAAUCCGACUAGGAACCAUGAGGUUGCGGGUUCGGUCCCUGCCCUUGCUCAGUGGGUUAACGAUCCGGCGUUGCCGUGAGCUGUGGUGUAGGUUGCAGACGCGGCUCGGAUCCCGCGUUGCUGUGGCUCUGGCGUAGGCCGGUGGCUACAGCUCCGAUUGGACCCCUAACCUGGGAACCUCCAUAUGCCGCGGGAGUAGCCCAAAGAAAUAGCAAAAAAAAAAAAAAAAA